UACGUAGGGGGCGAGCGUUGUCCGGAAUUACUGGGUGUAAAGGGCGUGUAGGCGGGGGUGCAAGUUACCGGUAAAAACCCAGGGCUCAACUCUGGGCUUGCCGGUAAAACUGCAUCUCUUGAGUGUAGGAGAGGGAAGUGGAAUUCCCGGAGUAGCGGUGAAAUGCGUAGAUACCGGGAGGAACACCAGUGGCGAAGGCGGCUUCCUGGCCUACAACUGACGCUGAGGCGCGAAAGCUAGGGUAGCGAACGGGAUUAGAUACC
rnacentral:rRNA from 1 species